rnacentral:rRNA from 1 species
UACGAAGGGGGCUAGCGUUGUUCGGAAUUACUGGGCGUAAAGCGCACGUAGGCGGAUUUGUAAGUCAGGGGUGAAAUCCCGGGGCUCAACCUCGGAACUGCCUUUGAUACUGCAAGUCUCGAGUCCGAUAGAGGUGAGUGGAAUUCCUAGUGUAGAGGUGAAAUUCGUAGAUAUUAGGAAGAACACCAGUGGCGAAGGCGGCUCACUGGAUCGGUACUGACGCUGAGGCACGAAAGCGUGGGGAGCAAACAGG